UGUGUAGGCGGUUCUCUAAGUUUGGUGUGAAAUCUCCCGGCUCAACCGGGAGGGUGCGCCGAAAACUGGGGGACUAGAGUGCGGGAGGGGAGAGUGGAAUUCCUGGUGUAGCGGUGAAAUGCGUAGAUAUCAGGAGGAACACCGGUGGUGCAGACGGCUCUCUGGACCGUAACUGACGCUGAAACACGAAAGCGUGGGUAGCAAACAGGAUUAGAUACCCUGGUAGUCCACGCCCUAAACGAUGCAUAUUUGGUGUAGGUCAUUCAGUUGAUCUGUGCCGGAGCUAACGCGUUAAAUAUGCCGCCUGGGGAGUACAGUCGCAAGGCUGAA
rnacentral:rRNA from 1 species